rnacentral:lncRNA from 1 species
GAGAACCUCAGCCAUGACAAGGAAAGACAGAGAAGAAAGAAGACAACCCACUUUGGUGCUCAUCAAAUUACUCUCCAGCCUGUUCGCCUGGACCUCUGGACCGCAGCCACCAGUGCGGACUUUACUGCAGCAGCUCCAUGCGCAUGAGUAUGCAGCAGGCAGCAGUGCUGGUGCUGAAGAAGAGUUAACAGGCCCUGCGACGGUGGGGUCCUACUUCACUGCACCCGACCACAUGAGAGCGUGGGGGCCAGGACCACUCAGCUGCUGGGCCACAGGGCUAGAGCUCAGACCUACAUCACCACUACGCCUAUAGGAUACUGAAAUAUCAAACCCACCUCAGUUAACCUCCAGAACCACGGAGGAAUAACAGUAGACAUGUUUCAAUGGCUCUCUAUCACGCAAGUAUCAACAAGGCAAAAUGCGAACUACGGCUUUGAACUAAAGCCAGCUCUCUGAAAUAUCUCUGUACUCUGUUCCCCCAUACCAUUUGGAGUUUUCCAUUAGCCACGGUAACCCACUUUCCAUUUCCACAGACAACUGAGAUUUGAAUGCUACCAACAAAUCCAGUGAAACUCAAAGUCAAAAGCCUCACAAAGAUGUGAAAAAGCCCACAGGCGGGAAGACCCCACAAGCACAAACAAAACAGUCCUUGAAUAGUAUAUUUAAAGCAGCAAUGUUAUAUAUCACCUUGGAGGAAUUUUCAAGAACUAUUCACAGAAUAGACAAAGUGGACAAUAUUAGUUUAGAUAAAUCCUUCCUAGACAAAUGCAUAAAUCUGCAGUAGAAGUUGUGUUGAGUAUCAGCCUGAAAGUAAACAGAACAUCUGUUUACUUUCCCCUUUAAAUUAGAAUUUUAUAGAUUAACAAAACAUGUUCAGGGCUGCUUGCAAAAGUCUUCAGUGAGAAAAUAAAUCAAAGGCCACUUUCA